rnacentral:misc_RNA from 1 species
GAGAGGAAAACUGAAUCAAGAGAAAUAAAUUCAGUAAUGUUACAGGACAAUCAAAAACAAAAGCAGCACAUAAAGAGAAAGCCCAUUUCUAAUUCUAUGCCCUCUUCUAUACUAGUAAAGCACCCAGAUUGUCCUGGGAUAAACAGAAGGAAAUGACUCAGAAAACGUUAAUAACGUUGAUAAACCAACAAAGCUUUCCAAUCAAGCUACACAAGAAAAUUUCAUGAAUCAUAAUUGCUUCCUUUCUUUCUUUCCAAUCAAUGAGUGGUUCACAGCUAGAUAAACCUAUGAUUCCUCGCCUCACCUUUCCUUUCAA